AAAAUAGAGCUUCUAAGACCUUCAGCCCUGCCUUCCUGAAAAACCCUCAUAUUUAGGGAAUUACACAAUUAUCUAUUAUCACCAGAAAUAAGUGUGUGUUUACGAGGGGAGGCAUUUGGGUACAAAACACCAGAUAUUCUCUAGGUCAGUAAAUCUUGAGUCAUAAUUCCGUCCUCUGUUUCCUGUUUUGUUCAAAUUUUAGUUCCCUUAUUUCAGACAGAUUGUGCAACUCAACAUUCAUUUUCAAGAAUGUCUUUGUAUCCAAGCUGAGGAUGUUUUCUCAUCUUUCGUCCUUCUCAGUCAUCAACUGCAUAUAAAAGGAGGGUCCACAAUCAGGACUCCCAGGCAGUAGGCAUCCUACAAACUCUAUUCCUGAAAGUGUUCUUCUCUCAUAUCCAAAGACUAUGGUCUCCUUGGUUGUCUUCUCCAUCCUUAUCAUUUUGGUACCUGGCCUCUGUUCUGAAGAAAAUUAUUAUGACACUCCCCAUGCCUGCUGCUUCCGCUAUUACUCUGGAAAAAUCCGAAAUGUGGUUGCUUGUUAUGAGACCAGCAGCCAAUGCCCCAAGCCAGGAGUCAUAGUCAUCACCAAGAUGGGACACCAGUUCUGUGUCCACCCAAGAAAUGCCAAAAAUUGUGGCACUUCCCUAAAACCAAAGGAAAUCCUCCAAUCCUAGGGAGGACGGUCCCUGGACAACAGACAACAUCACCCUGUGAAGAUAUCAUCCCUUAUCUAGGGAACUUAUGAUUUCUAAAAAUAAACGUGAUGGACUUCAUAGGAUUCA
rnacentral:lncRNA from 1 species